rnacentral:rRNA from 1 species
ACGCUCGACACCUACGGGAGGCAGCAGUCGGGAAUAUUGCGCAAUGGGAGGAAACUCUGACGCAGUGACGCCGCGUGCAGGAAGAAGGUUUUCGGAUUGUAAACUGCUUUAGACAGGGAAGAAAAGGACAGUACCUGUAGAAUAAGCUCCGGCUAACUACGUGCCGGCAGCCGCGGUAAUCUGAGCGGGCUGGCAAGGC